rnacentral:rRNA from 1 species
ACGAACGCUGGCGGCAUGCCUAACACAUGCCAGUCGAACGAGACCUUCGGGUCUAGUGGCGCACGGGUGCGUAACGCGUGGGAACCUGCCCUUAGGUUCGGAAUAACUCCCCGAAAGGGGUGCUAAUACCGGAUAAUGUCUUCGGACCAAAGUUUUAUCGCCUUUGGAUGGGCCCGCGUUGGAUUAGCUAGUUGGUAGGGUAAAAGCCUACCAAGGCGACGAUCCAUAGCUGGUCUGAGAGGAUGAUCAGCCACACUGGGACUGAGACACGGCCCAGACUCCUACGGGAGGCAGCAGUGGGGAAUAUUGGACAAUGGGCGAAAGCCUGAUCCAGCAAUGCCGCGUGAGUGAUGAAGGCCUUAGGGUUGUAAAGCUCUUUUACCCGGGAUGAUAAUGACAGUACCGGGAGAAUAAGCUCCGGCUAACUCCGUG